GACGAACGCUGGCGGCGUGCCUAAUACAUGCAAGUCGAACGCAGGAAACUGACGGAACUCUUCGGAGGGAAGGCAGCGGAAUGAGCGGCGGACGGGUGAGUAGCACGUAAGGAACCUGCCUCAAGGAUUGGGAUAACUCCGAGAAAUCGGAGCUAAUACCGGAUAGUUCAUCGGACCGCAUGGUCCGUUGAUGAAAGGCGCUCCGGCGCCACCUUGAGAUGGCCUUGCGUUGCAUUAGCUAGUUGGUGGGGUAACGGCCCACCAAGGCGACGAUGCAUAGCCGACCUGAGAGGGUGAUCGGCCACACUGGGACUGAGACACGGCCCAGACUCCUACGGGAGGCAGCAGUAGGGAAUCUUCCACAAUGGACGAAAGUCUGAUGGAGCAACGCCGCGUGAGUGAUGAAGGUUUUCGGAUCGUAAAACUCUGUUGUAAGGGAAGAACACGUACGAGAGGAAAUGCUCGUACCUUGACGGUACCUUACGAGAAAGCCACGGCUAACUACGUGCCAGCCGCCGCGGUAA
rnacentral:rRNA from 1 species